CCUACGGGAGGCAGCAGUGGGGAAUUUUGGACAAUGGGCGAAAGCCUGAUCCAGCCAUUCCGCGUGCAGGAUGAAGGCCCCCGGGUUGUAAACUGCUUUUGUACAGAACGAAAAGGUUUCUAUUAAUACUAGGAGCUCAUGACGGUACUGUAAGAAUAAGCACCGGCUAACUACGUGCCAGCAGCCGCGGUAAUACGUAGGGUGCAAGCGUUAAUCGGAAUUACUGGGCGUAAAGCGUGCGCAGGCGGUUAUAUAAGUCAGAUGUGAAAUCCCCGGGCUCAACCUGGGAACUGCAUUUGAGACUGUAUAGCUAGAGUACGGUAGAGGGGGAUGGAAUUCCGCGUGUAGCAGUGAAAUGCGUAGAUAUGCGGAGGAACACCGAUGGCGAAGGCAAUCCCCUGGACCUGUACUGACGCUCAUGCACGAAAGCGUGGGGAGCAAACAGGAUUAGAUACCCUGGUAGUCCACGCCCUAAACGAUGUCAACUGGUUGUUGGGUCUUAACUGACUCAGUAACGAAGCUAAUGCGUGAAGUUGACCGCCUGGGGAGUACGGCCGCAAGGUUGAAACUCAAAUGAAUUGACGG
rnacentral:rRNA from 1 species